UAGAAAAGUUUAUAAAUGGAGUUCAUAAAUAGUUAAAAUUGGGUAAAAGGUGUGCUGGUUAAAAGUAUAAAUAUAAUAUGUAGAGUUUAAUAAAUAAGGAUAUUUACAGUUAAAGUUAACUUCAUAUAAGUUUUUUUGUUUCAUUUGAGAGAAAAGUAAAGAAGAAGAAACUGUGUUUAUCUGUGUAACCUAAUCUGUUACCUGUUACCUGUCAAUCAUUUAAUUCCCGUUUUGCUUUUGGUUGUGUUAGUACUUGAGCCAAUUAGAGUAACAUCAUUGUGUAAGGGGCGGGACUAUUGGACAGGUUUGUGUGAGGAGUAGUGAGCACGUAUGGAAAACGGAGAACAGACGCUAUAAUGAGAGCGCUAAUGAAGGAGGAGGCAUCGUGGUGUGGGUAGCAUUAAUGUUUUUAUGAAGGUCGACUACUCGUGGUCCUUGCAACAAAAAACUUUGGUGUGACCUGCAAGAGCAUCCAGCUGCAGCCCCGCAGACUCACAUCUUGCUAGACACCAGUGGAUGGACAGCAGACGUCAUUUCCGUAUCGUCAUUCACUUUUCAAAUUGACGUCAGCGGCAAAUCGCAUUAGUGUGCGUAAAGGGACGGAGCUACCACCAAUACAGAAAUACACAGAGUGCUGCAGCCGGUAUCACUGCCCGCUGUGCAAUUCAAACACAGUGGGGUACUGUGGAAACAGAAGACGUGGAGACCUGCGAGGGUUUUAUAGAGACCCUGAAUUUCCUGAGCAUUGCCCAGACUGCCAGUUUUAGGGGGCAGGAUAGAGGUGUGGUGUGCACAGUGUGCAAUAGUUUAUUUGGAACUGUUCAUGUUUUAUUUCCUCUUGAAAUAGGGACUUCCCCCACAACCUUAAAGGGGGGGUGAAAUGCUAUUUCAUGCAUACUGAGUUUUUUACACUGUUAAAGAGUUGGAUUCC